GACGAACCGAGCGAACGCUGUUCGGAAUCACUGGGCUUAAAGGGCGCGUAGGCGGGCAUUCAAGUCUGUGGUGAAAUCCUCCGGCUCAACCGGAGAACUGCCUCGGAUACUGGGUGUCUCGAGGGUGAUAGGGGUAUGCGGAACUAUCGGUGGAGCGGUGAAAUGCGUUGAUAUCGAUAGGAACUCCGGUGGCGAAGGCGGCAUACUGGAUCACUUCUGACGCUGAGGCGCGAAAGCCAGGGGAGCAAACGGGG
rnacentral:rRNA from 1 species